CUUUCCUCAAGUGAUUCUUGUUGAGGGGAUUUAUAGACAUUGCGAUCUUUAAGAACCUCGAGUUGGCAAGGUUUAGAAUGCUCUCGAACGGGCGUUUAUGACAAGCUCCUGGGUGCCGUGGCUGCCGCUCCUACUCCUGAUCCCACUGGCCAAGGAGAUCAAGCCCUUGUUUUCACUACUGGAAUGUAUCUGGGACAGUUGGAUAUUUUUCAAUGUUAGCCGAAACACAUCCUUGUAAUGAGAUGUUACACAUCUCAGCUGAGGUGUGAGAAUGUCUCGUUGCAGUCACAGGAGUGUCGAAGCGUGACCACCUUUGUCUGUGCUCUUGGGCCACACAUUCCAAUACAAAGCAGUUGAGUUUACAGCACCGGCCUGGACCUAAGUAUCAGCACCAUCACGUCCACUUCAGUGGAUAGAGAGAUAUACUCAAAGCUUUGCCUCACAGUGCCUGGACCCUCUGAGUCAUCGAAUAGUACCACACUGUUUGAUUUUAAAAUAGUCUUGAUUUCUUAAUAGUUUCCAGACAUCGGCUUCUGGGGUGCCGAAGAGAAGUUAGAAGUCUUGAACUUAGCCUGGGUGUAGAUCUUAUUUUAAAAAUUUUAAAACUUUUGUGUAUCUGGCUGAGUGCGGGUGCAGAGGCCAGAAGUGGAUGUCGGAUCAUCUGGAGCAGGAGACCGUGAACCAGUACCAGUGUGGGUACUGGGAACUGAACCAGGGGCUGCUUAAAGAGCAACAGGUACUUUUAAACCUUCUCUUAGGCUGCUGAAUUGUGAGGAAACACAGAGACAGUGGUAAAGGAAAAGCAAAAGCAGGAGAGCCACACCCAUAUAUGAGACUCUUUGGUUUUGGUGUGGGAAGACCGGGAAGAGGUUGGGGAUGGGUGUCUUGCACAUGUGACAGUCUUUACAAACAAAGUUUGUUGCCCUUGAGGUUAGAUCAGAAGCAAGUCUCUCUCACUACCCGCUGCACAUACCCUCAACCCCAGUACAGUAUAUGGGGACACAUUUUGGUACUGAAGAAAAUAACUUAAGCUGAAUUAAGUAACUUUGGAAUGUAUCUAUAUACUUAAGACCACAUUUUAAGACAUAGAGCAGCUGUGUACAGUACGGUAAGGUUUUUACCCAGUGGUUUCUCUCCAUAUGAUUGUUAGGAAUAUAUAACAUUAAAAACAGGGGGGGUACGUGUGUGUUUUCUAAAGGAGAAGUUAAAAAACUAACAAAGGAACAAAUCUGUAAACCCACGAAUGGUUUGAGUCUGAUAAACCAGCAAGUACCUUCCAUUAUUUCCUGGUGAAAUUAUUUAAGGUCAGUGUUUAUAGGAGUGGGGAUAAAGUGCACAUUUGUUAAGUGGUGUCCUUGUUACUUGUAAGUACAUUGAAAAUAAUAAAGAGAAAUGUUUCGAUGGAUGUGUAUGUCAUCCUAGUAAAGAUUAGUUCCCUAAGGGUAAACGUUUUACCCAUUUUGAGCCUACUGACAUAGUAAAAAGAGCUCCGUGAAGAAGCAAAUGGACACAGUCAACAAAACAUAGAACGAAACCAUAUAUCUACGCAUGUUAUGAUUCCCUCUGGGAAGUUUCCUUUGGUCCUAGCUUUGGGCAUAUUUAAAUGAGUCCUGGCACCUUUAUCCUGUGUUUUUAGCCCUCAUAACCACUUAACAGCUCUGACCCUCCAGUUCUUUUCACAGGGUGCUUGAAUUCUGUAUGCCCCCAUCUCCUUCUCUAGCUGAAGUCUGAGGUCUCAGGAAGGAGGUGGAAGGAAACACACUCCUUCUCUCAGGAGUGGGAGACAAGGAACACAUUGUGGAUCCACAGGACCAGAUCUCUUUCAGCUUGUAGUUCAAGCCUCACUCAAUCAUCAUUUAGUCAGUACGUUAGACACAGCUGGGAUGGGAUAUCAGUAAUAUUCUGUGGAAAGCGUUGCCCACACCACAGACUAACUUGAAUGAAAUGCUUUCUUGUGUGGUGAAACUUUGCACUACUACGCC
ensembl:lncRNA